AUGGCCGGAUCUUGGAACUGGGCGGAUCUACCGGACGGGCCGACGGCGCUCAUCGCCGACCGCGUCCUCGCCUUCGACGUCGCCGACUACGUUCGCUUCCGCGCCGUGUGCCUCCCGUGGCGGCGGUGCUCAGCGGGCCCCCGCGAGCACGGCAGCCUCGACCGCCGGUUCCAUCCCCGGCGGUGGACCAUGCUCCGGGAGGAGCUCGCGGCGCCCAACCGCCGCUCCUUCCUGAACACCUCCACCGGCGAGUGUGUCCAGGUGGACCUCCCGGAGCUCCAUGACCACACUGUGCUCGCCCUCACCCCCGAGGGCCUCCUCAUUCUGCUCCACAAGCUGCAGCGCACCACCGUCCGCCUGCUCAACCCAUUCACCGGCCACCUCACGGAACUCCCGCCGCUCACCACGCUGCUAUCUCCACCGCACCACCACAUGCUUAUGUCUGGCAUUGACCGUUUGGAAAGGGUGUUCGCAGCGUGGGGCUCCGGCGUUGCCAAUGAUGAUUCCACAGUUGUGCUCUGCUUCUACAAGCUGGGCGUGCUUGGCAUGGCCAAGCCGAGCGAUGACCACUGGACGUUGGUGAAAUGCAGAUUUAAUUCAAUGGGAGCACCCUUAAUGCUGGCAGGCCGCUUCUACUGCGUUUGCUUGCACAAUGGUCUCAUGGUGCUGGAAACCAGCGCGGAUCAGCCACCACGGCUGGAGAUGGCCUCCCAGCUGAAUUUCAGUGCCUCUACGAUUGGUUAUAGUGUGCACCUGGUGAACAAUUGUGGGGAGCUCAUGCUGGUGCACCGUUGGUGUGGACCAUUGUCACCGGUCAACAGAGUGGGUUAUUGGUACGAUGCAUAUCGAGUGGAUUUGGACAAGCGGAAGAUAUUCCCGGUCAACAGCUUGGGCGGCGCCGCAGGGCGUGUGGUGUUCAUGGGCAUGCAUUGCUCUCUAUUGGUGUCUCUAGAGAAUUUCCCCUCCGGUUCCAUAACUGCUGACACCAUCUACUUAGGCUUUGACAUUGCUGAAAGAGCGGAGUUUAAAGUUGGAGCAUAUCAUCUCGCAGAUGAAAGCAUCGAAGGCACCAGCAGAUAUCAGGGUCGCUUGGUGCCACGGCCGCAUACUCUUGUUGACUGUCUAUCUUUAGCCAAUACUGUCUGA
rnacentral:rRNA from 1 species